AAACAGAGGAUAUACCUUCCUGCCUCCAUAGUCAGUCCACAAGAAGAUUAAAAAACUCUCCUACUAAUUCAUUUGGGAUGGUAGGAAAAGAAUACCAUGGUUCAAGAUGAUUCUCCCAAAGGAUGAAAUUAUGAAGGGGGCUUGGAGUCAGAAACCUUGAUAUGAUAGCCAAGACACCUGGUCCAGGUGAUCUUACAUUGUGUUCCAUAUUUUUACGGAAGUUUAACUGAAUUUCAAUUUAAUUCCAUACUUUUUAAGCCAGAAGCAAUACAGAUAAAUUUUAAGCUUUUUUCAAAUCUUUCUACAGAAAAUGAUUCACAAUUUAGAUAAAUAAGAAAAGCAACAGAUGUAUGAAGUACACACCAUCAUGAGUUAGAUCCUGAAAAAAUGACAAUAUAUCUGUCUUUAGAUGAACUAGUUCGAUUGUAGAUGCAAAUUGCACCAAAUUCGAUGCUGCCGAUCGCCUAACCAUAGGCAUAUCAUCUUGACACAACUGACUGUAAGUAGACCUUAGUUCAUCUUUCAAUGGUUCCGGUGCACUUGAGUAUGGAAUGUGAAAUAACCCACAUGAAGAAAUUCUAGCCGUAAACCACUCACCGGAUGCUAGUCUCUAAAAAAAACAUGAAUAGAAAUGUCAAAACUCAAAAGAAAGUUUGUAUUUCGCAAGCAUUGGAAAUGGAACUUGAUAAAGAAGGGAUGUGAGGAGGAUAAUAAAGGGUCAAGUUGUGGCUGGUCACUGCCUCACUUGUUCCUGAUGAUUGCUGAACAAUUAUUUCAGUGAUGAUUUCAGUAUGAUAAUCGAUGAAAAUGAAAUAUAUGUAGAAUUAAUUAAGAGAUAAUCAUGGAAUCUAUACAUUCAAUAUUGUAGAAAAAAAUUAGCAAAAAUUAUGGUUUAUUAAAAGGAUGAAAAGAAAUGUAAACUAUUUAUAUUAAUGGUCGAAAUUGAUCGAUUGAACAUAAAAUCUUAUGAAGUUAUAACUUAUAAUACCUUAAUUAAUGGGAUAAAUGAGCAAACAAGGUCAUUUCCAUCCAUCUCGACCCCUAUCUUACACAAUGAAGACACAGCUUUUUCUCUAACACAUGUUUCAUCUACAGUGCAUAAUGUUUCUAAUGGAGUAAGCAAAACACGAGCAUGUUCCACUCCCCCAACAAAUGGGAUGAAACGACCCAACUCUUCAGCCAUAGAAAGAAG
rnacentral:lncRNA from 1 species